rnacentral:rRNA from 1 species
AUUGAACGCUGGCGGCAGGCCUAACACAUGCAAGUCGAGCGAGCGGCGGACGGGUGAGUAAUGUAUGGGGACUGCCCGAUAGCGGGGGAUAACUACUGGAAACGGUGGCUAAUACUGCAUACUAUCGGAUAACCCAUGUGGGAUUAGCUAGUAGGUAAGGUAAUGGCUUACCUAGGCGACGAUCCCUAGCUGGUCUGAGAGGAUGAUCAGCCCCGCUGGGACUGAGACACGGCCCAGACUCCUACGGAGGCAGCAGUGGGGAAUAUUGCACAGUGGGCGCAAUCCUGAUGCAGCCAUGCCGCGUGUAUGAAGAAGGCCCUAGGGUUGUAAAGUACUUUCGGUCGGGAGGCGUUACCUACAGAAGAAGCACCGGCUAACUCCGUGCCAGCAGCCGCGGUAAUUC